rnacentral:rRNA from 1 species
AUAGUUUUUUAAUUUAAAACUGGAAUGAAAGAAAUAACUAAAGGUAACAUUUCUUAUAAGAAUUUUAUUAAAUUUUACUUUUCAGUAAAAAGGCUGAAAUGAUUUUUUUAGACAAGAAGACCCUGUAAAUUUUAAUAUUAAAAUAGUUUAAUAACUUUUCUAUUAUUUUGCUGGGGCGGCAUGAAAAUUAACAUUUCAAAAUAAAAGAAAUCCAAAAAUUUUUAUACCUAAAAUUUUUAAAAAUAAAUAAAAUACUUCAGGGAUAACAGCGUAAUUUAUUUUGAGAGAUCUUAUCAACAAAUAAGAUUGCGACCUCGAUGUUGAAUUAAGAAGUCUAGACUACGAAAAAGU